AGGCAAGAUGGCGUCGAGCGGCGGGGAGCUAGGGAGUUUAUUUGAUCACCACGUCCAGAGGGCGGUAUGCGACACACGGGCCAAAUAUCGAGAGGGACGACGGCCUCGUGCUGUGAAGGUAAAGUGAUUUUGGUUUCAUUCGCUCUCCUCGGUAGCUUUAUGUGAGUGCUAGCGCCAUAUGACCAGCCUACGGAAAUAAAGGCACGACAAGGCUUCCGUCAGAUCUGUCUCUCGUUAGAGCUGGCGUGAAGAACCCUCGGUCAGUUACCAAAGAUUCUCACGACGCCUUUGGUCAAGUAUUAGAACAUCAACUCCACGAGAAUAGGCCUUGGUUUUAGUCAUUGGAUCUUCUGUGUUUACAGUACUACUUGGCACAGGUAUAUACAAUCAAUUUGGAAUCUCAGUACUUAUUAAUACAAGGAGUUCCUGCUGUGGGAGUCAUGAAGGAAUUAGUUGAGCGAUUCGCUUUAUAUGGUGCAAUUGAACAGUACAAUGCUCUAGAUGAAUACCCAGCAGAAGACUUUACUGAAGUUUAUCUUAUUAAAUUUAUGAACUUACAAAGUGCAAGGACAGCCAAGAGAAAAAUGGAUGAACAGAGUUUCUUCGGUGGAUUGCUUCAUGUGUGCUAUGCUCCAGAAUUUGAAACAGUUGAAGAAACUAGAAAAAAACUACAAAUGCGGAAGGCAUAUGUAGUAAAAACUACUGAAAAUAAAGG
rnacentral:lncRNA from 10 species